rnacentral:rRNA from 1 species
GUGGGGAAUUUUGGACAAUGGGCGCAAGCCUGAUCCAGCAAUGCCGCGUGCAGGAAGAAGGCCUUCGGGUUGUAAACUGCUUUUGUACGGAACGAAACGGCUCUGGUUAAUACCCGGGGCUAAUGACGGUACCGUAAGAAUAAGCACCGGCUAACUACGUGCCAGCAGCCGCGGUAAUACGUAGGGUGCAAGCGUUAAUCGGAAUUACUGGGCGUAAAGCGUGCGCAGGCGGUUUUGUAAGACAGGCGUGAAAUCCCCGGGCUCAACCUGGGAAUGGCGCUUGUGACUGCAAAGCUGGAGUGCGGCAGAGGGGGAUGGAAUUCCGCGUGUAGCAGUGAAAUGCGUAGAUAUGCGGAGGAACACCGAUGGCGAAGGCAAUCCCCUGGGCCUGCACUGACGCUCAUGCACGAAAGCGUGGGGAGCAAACAGGAUUAGAUACCCGGGUAGUCC